rnacentral:sRNA from 1 species
GCCAGGUGCGGGGGUGUACACCUGUAAUCCCAGUGACUCGGGAGGCUGAGACAGGAGGAUCUCAAAUUUGAAGCCAGCCUCAGCCACUUAACAAGACCCUCAGCAACUUAGUGAGACCCUGUCUUAA